rnacentral:rRNA from 1 species
AGAGUUUGAUCCUGGCUCAGAACGUACGCUGGCGGCACGCCUAACACAUGCAAGUCGAACGAAGUAGCAAUACUUAGUGGCAGACGGGUGAGUAACAUGUAGGUAUCUGCCCUUUGGCCUGGAAUAACACGAGGAAACUUGUGCUAAUACCGGAUAAGUCUUUACGGAGAAAGCUUUAUGCACCAUUGGAUGAGCCUGCACUUGAUUAGUUUGUUGGUGGGGUAAUGGCCUACCAAGACUGUGAUCAAUAGCUGAUUUGAGAGGAUGAUCAGCCACAUUGGGACUGAGACACGGCCCAAACUCCUACGGGAGGCAGCAGUGGGGAAUCUUGCACAAUGGAGGAAACUCUGAUGCAGCGAUGCCGCGUGAGUGAAGAAGGCCCUUGGGUUGUAAAGCUCUUUCGUCGGGGAAGAAAAUGACUGUACCCGAAUAAGAAGGUCCGGCUAACUUCGUGCCAGCAGCCGCGGUAAUACGAAGGGACCUAGCGUAGUUCGGAAUUACUGGGCUUAAAGAGUUCGUAGGUGGUUGAAAAAGUUGGUGGUGAAAUCCCAGAGCUUAACUCUGGAACUGCCAUCAAAACUUUUCAGCUAGAGUAUGAUAGAGGAAAGCAGAAUUUCUAGUGUAGAGGUGAAAUUCGUAGAUAUUAGAAAGAAUACCAAUUGCGAAGGCAGCUUUCUGGAUCAUUACUGACACUGAGGAACGAAAGCAUGGGUAGCGAAGAGGAUUAGAUACCCUCGUAGUCCAUGCCGUAAACGAUGUGUGUUAGACGUUGGAAAUUUAUUUUCAGUGUCGCAGCGAAAGCGAUAAACACACCGCCUGGGGAGUACGACCGCAAGGUUAAAACUCAAAUGAAUUGACGGGGACCCGCACAAGUAGUGGAGCAUGUGGUUUAAUUCGAAGAUACGCGCAGAACCUUACCAACACUUGACAUGUUCGUCGCGACUCUAAGAGAUUAGAGUUUUCGGUUCGGCCGGACGAAACACAGGUGCUGCAUGGCUGUCGUCAGCUCGUGUCGUGAGAUGUUGGGUUAAGUCCCGCAACGAGCGCAACCCUCACUUUUAGUUGCCAUCAUUAAGUUGGGCACUCUGAAAGAACUGCCAGUGAUAAGCUGGAGGAAGGUGGGGAUGACGUCAAGUCCUCAUGGCCCUUACGUGUUGGGCUACACACGUGCUACAAUGGUAUCUACAACAGGAAGCAAGACUGCGAAGUUAAGCAAAUCCUUAAAAGAUACCUCAGUUCGGAUUGCACUCUGCAACUCGAGUGCAUGAAGCUGGAAUUACUAGUAAUCGUGGAUCAGCGUGCCACGGUGAAUGCGUUCCCGGGUCUUGUACACACCGCCCGUCACACCAUGGGAGUUGGUUCUACCUUAAGGCAAGGUUUCAAACCCUUGACCACGGUAUAGUCAGCGACUGGGGUGAAGUCGUAACAAGGUAACC